GCGACAGAGAGACACAGAGAGACACAGAGAGAAGAAAAAGAAAAUACCUACCACAAUGACUAGUUAAUGCCAAUCGAGGUGGGAAACAGCACUGUUUGCUGGGCUUGGUGUACAUAAAGUUGAAAGUGAACUGAGCAGCAGUGGUUCGUGGCUCUUUGCACAGAAUUUGUCUUAUUUUUUAUUUAAGUUAAACUUUUUUAGUUUUGAGAAUUUCAUUUGAGUACUGUAUUUAACCAUUUCCACCCCACCUCCGCUCCCUCCAACUCUUUCUAUGUUCCCUCUACUCGAUCAUUUCAUUUCAAAUCAUGACCUCUCUCUUCCUUCUUCUUUUUCCUUUUCUCUCUCUAACACACACACACACACACACACACACACACACACCACAUACAUCACAAUUUACUAGUUCCAUUUAGUAUUGCUUAUAUGCAUAUGUGUUUAGUGCUAAACAACUUGAUAUUGGAUAUCCUGUUGGUGGCUCUGGCUUACGGUUCAUCUGUGAGAAAACUGAUUCUUCUUUCUCAGCAGCUGGUAGCCUGCAGCUCUCCCUCUAGGUGUGGAAUCUUUGUGAAUGUUUCCCCUCUUCACAAUGGCACAUCAACUGGUAGUAUCAUUAUGUGGGUCUUAAUUAGUCAAUUGUAUUGCUGAGAUUUUGUGUGUGCAGCCUCCCUGUCCUUUAUAGAAGAAAUUCUCCCAACAAGCAGAAGCUUGUCUUCUAGGCAAUUCAGUCUUAUUAAGUUGACAACCAAUAUUAACUAUCACAAAGAUAUUUCCAAAUUCGCUUGCAUUGGGCUUCAACAUAUGAUUUUUGAGAAGAAAAUAUCCAGUGCAUAGCAGACCAUGACCAUUCCAGCUGGCAAACAGCAUUAUCAAAGAUGAAAGGAGCCCAAAGCUUCAAAUGGAACACAUGGGUGAGAGCCUUCUGGUCCACUUGAAACUGGGUUCAGACAACUUCUGUAAAUUGCAGCACAGUUAAUAUUCAGUCUUGGGGUCAUAUAGACUGGGUUGUAUUAGUCAUCUUUGCCAUUAUGUGUAAAAGCAACCACUGACUACUCUUUGUCUAUAAGUUGAAAGAGUGUUGGUCUAUUUCAAUAAAUCCAAUCAAUUUUUAUUUAAAUGGACACUGAAAAUUGAAUUUCAUGCAAUUUUCCCAUGCUACAAAUACAGUUUUUUCCAACUACGUAAAAAUGUUAAAGCAAUUCUCAGGAGCCAAAACAGGCGUGUGUGUGUGUGUGUGUGUGUGUGUGUGUGUGUGUGUGUGUGUGUGUGUGUGUGUGCUUUCCCUGGAUGUAUGAAUAUACAGUCUGUGAUUUUUUUAUUCCUGGAUGUACGCAUGUACUUUAUGUGAAUGUCUGGUGCCCUCAGAGGCCAGAAGAUGGUAUUGGAUCCCCUGGAGAUAGAGUUAGAGAUGGUUGUGGACUGCCAUGUGGAUGCUGGGAAUCAACCGCGUGUCUUCUGCAAGAGCAGCAAGUGGUGAGCCAUCUCUCCAGCUCAGGUCUACGCCAAACUCUGCCUCCACCCCUCACUCGUACAAACCUCUUAUACCUGUGGAUGGAUGGGAUAGCAGAGUUGGAGAGAGGUGAUGUUUCGCAUAGGUGAAGAGCAAGGAGAAUCUUAUCACGUGGCAGGACAGCUUUGCACAGCUCCAACCCUGUGGUAAAAAGAGCUACACUUCAUCUUACUUACGAGCCCUCACUCUCCAGGUCAAUCACAGAACAGUCCAAGGUUCCUGCAACGUGGAGGAUGUCCUUCCCACAGAAAAUGAAAAACAAUGUGUCUUGGAAUGGCCCCAGAGAUCCUGCAGACACAGCCUGGUCACAAAUGGCCUUGUUUUGAAGCAGAACUUGGGUUUAUAAGCAGUUCUGUCAGCUUCGAGGUCCUCCUCACAUUGUUUUGUCUGUUUUGUUUGUUUUGUCUUUUUCCUCUUAUUAUAGACUUCUCAAACUUGCAGCUAAAAUUUAUGGAGCCUAAGACAAGAAAACCAUGAAAAGCCCACACACCAUUGCCUAAUAUUUACAAGUUAUACAUCAAACUAAUAUACUACUAAACACAUGUGUCUUAAUGAAGCAUUAUGGUGGGGGAAAAUCUAUAUGAAAUUAUGAUUUUUUUGUUGAGAAAAAUCUCCAAAACAAAUAAAUUUAUUAUUACAAAUACAAUCUUCAUAUGAGAAAUAAGAUAAAACACAAAUAAUAAUUCAUAGUGCAUCUACAUCAUGAAAUAUAUUUUUCUCUUUCAGCAAAAAUCACUAAUUCUGUGAUCUGAACCAAUAUUCUCUCAUGAUUUGUGUUUUAAAGGUUUAGAAACAAGUGUAAAUCUACUAAAAAUGUUCAAAAUCUGAAACAAUUUUCACCAAGGAAUAUACAAUAAAAUAAACAUGAAAGAAUUUUAA